rnacentral:rRNA from 1 species
UUCUUCUUCGGGAGAGAGAGAGCGGCGUACGGGUGCGUAACACGUGUGCAACCUACCUUUAUCAGGAGGAUAGCCUUUCGAAAGGAAGAUUAAUACUCCAUAAUAUAUUAGAUGGCAUCAUUUAAUAUUGAAAACUCCGGUGGAUAGAGAUGGGCACGCGCAAGAUUAGAUAGUUGGUGAGGUAACGGCUCACCAAGUCAUUGAUCUUUAGGGGUCCUGAGAGGGAGAUCCCCCACACUGGUACUGAGACACGGACCAGACUCCUACGGGAGGCAGCAGUGAGGAAUAUUGGACAAUGGGUGAGAGCCUGAUCCAGCCAUCCCGCGUGAAGGAUGACGGUCCUACGGAUUGUAAACUUCUUUUGUAUAGGGAUAAACCCAGAUACGUGUAUCUGGCUGAAGGUACUAUACGAAUAAGCACCGGCUAACUCCGUGCCAGCAGCCGCGGUAAUACGGAGGGUGCAAGCGUUAUCCGGAUUUAUUGGGUUUAAAGGGUCCGCAGGCGGGCCGAUAAGUCAGUGGUGAAAUCUCAUAGCUUAACUAUGAAACUGCCAUUGAUACUGUCGGUCUUGAGUAAAUUAGAGGUAGCUGGAAUAAGUAGUGUAGCGGUGAAAUGCAUAGAUAUUACUUAGAACACCAAUUGCGAAGGCAGGUUACCAUGAUUUAACUGACGCUGAGGGACGAAAGCGUGGGGAGCGAACAGGAUUAGAUACCCUGGUAGUCCACGCCGUAAACGAUGCUAACUCGUUUUUGGGGCGCAAGCUUCAGAGACCAAGCGAAAGUGAUAAGUUAGCCACCUGGGGAGUACGUUCGCAAGAAUGAAACUCAAAGGAAUUGACGGGGGCCCGCACAAGCGGUGGAUUAUGUGGUUUAAUUCGAUGAUACGCGAGGAACCUUACCAAGACUUAAAUGGGAAAUGACAGGUUUAGAAAUAGAUCCUUCUUCGGACAUUUUUCAAGGUGCUGCAUGGUUGUCGUCAGCUCGUGCCGUGAGGUGUUAGGUUAAGUCCUGCAACGAGCGCAACCCCUGUCACUAGUUGCUAACAUUCAGUUGAGGACUCUAGUGAGACUGCCUACGCAAGUAGAGAGGAAGGUGGGGAUGACGUCAAAUCAUCACGGCCCUUACGUCUUGGGCCACACACGUAAUACAAUGGCCGGUACAGAGGGCAGCUACACAGCGAUGUGAUGCAAAUCUCGAAAGCCGGUCUCAGUUCGGAUUGGAGUCUGCAACUCGACUCUAUGAAGCUGGAAUCGCUAGUAAUCGCGCAUC